ensembl:lncRNA
CACGAGCUACGUGCACGAGUGCUCAGAGCGCAUGCUCUUCGGAUGUUGACAACCGUGACAUUGUUUACUGUGGACACGCACGUUUGUUUUGUUUCUGUUCUGUCUCCUCCCUGUUCUGUCAUUGGUUGUUGUUCGAGGGUGUGGCUUUAUUGUUUUCAGCUGCCAGCGCUUAGCUGAUUAUAUUCGGAAUAUAUACCGCUCACGAACCUGUACACCUCGUGCAGUAUUCUGUCACGUCGUGAGAGCUAAGGGAGUAGCGCAUGGAAGCAGAAUGGUCAGCUGAAGGCGAGGAGGAGGUCCACGAGUGGCGUGAGAGGAUCCCCUGAAACGAAUUCUCUUAUCUGCUUCAGAGCCAAGGAGGUCAUGAAGACUCCUCCUCGCACCCCUCAGUGUUGGUGUGUUUGGUCUCCGUAUCCUUGUAAAGCACUUGCUGGAGAAUCUGCUGUUUUCGGGCCACACCUCCAUAAAGCAGAAGAUGGCCGCUUUCCAGUGCGUGAUGGAGACUGAGAAUGCGGAACGAUCUGUCUCUCCUGGGAAGCAAGAGGAGGGAGUGAGACGCAUUCAGUCUGCAGUUCAGAGGAGAGAGAGAACCGACUCCCUCCUUUAUCGAAGACUCUGCAGGGGAACUUUAUGGGAGGGGCCGCUUUCCGAGCAGGUCAACACAGAACGCUGUUGUAGGAAAACGAUCAACUCGAAGACGAUAACUGAUAACUCUUGUGAUCCCUUAUACCGCUUCAAUCUACCGACAUGUCACGAGUCCUCUGCAGGGCUGAGCGAUGUGGCACAAAUAUCAGUGUUUCUUCUACCAUACACAAACUGUUCAAUAUUUACUUUUUUUAUACUUAAAGUAAUAAUUUCUCAAAAAACGUUGGCAAUGAAAAGGAUGGGGGGAAAACAAAGUUUUAACCUGUUAGUGUUAAAGAUUAAGCAUAGCACUUUACACAACAUUAAUAUUUAAAUUGAUGUGUAAUAAAGUAAAAGCACAUGUCUAAAGUCCUUCAGACAAAUUCUUUUUUUCAUAUUUAAAAAAAACAAACAUUUUAUUUAUGAAGCAAAUUUCAACACUGAAAGAGGGG